ACUUUAACCUCCUAGGGGAGCCUGUCCUCUAACUCGAUGAUCCACGAACCUCUUACCUGUCUUUAAACCAACAGCCUGUAUACCGUCGUUAUUAGCUAACCUUACAGAGAAAAAAAGUUAGCAAAAAAGACCUAAACCCCCUAAUAUGUCAGAUCAAGGUGCAGCCAAUAGAUAGGCGCGAGAUGGGCUACAAUUUUUUAAUCAUAAUGAAAUUUUGAUUUAAACCUUCAAGAAGAAAUAGGACUUAGAAGUAAUUUUUUUAAAAAAUAAAAAAAUGAAUUGGCUAUAAAGUGUGU
rnacentral:rRNA from 1 species